UUUGAAAGAAUUUCGGUGGAGGAUGACUUCGCGGCCUAUCAGCUAGUUGGUGAGGUAAUGGCUCACCAAGGCAACGACGGGUAGCCGGCCUGAGAGGGCGACCGGCCACACUGGGACUGAGACACGGCCCAGACUCCUACGGGAGGCAGCAGUGGGGAAUAUUGGGCAAUGGAGGAAACUCUGACCCAGCGACGCCGCGUGCGGGAUGAAGGCCUUCGGGUUGUAAACCGCUUUCAGUAGGGAAGAAGCGAAAGUGACGGUACCUACAAAAGAAGCACCGGCUAACUAUGUGCCAGCAGCCGCGGUAAUACAUAGGGUGCAAGCGUUGUCCGGAAUUAUUGGGCGUAAAGAGCUCGUAGGUCGUUUGUUACGUCGGAUGUGAAAACCUGAGGCUCAACCUCAGGCCUGCAUUCGAUACGGGCAAACUAGAGUUUGGUAGGGGAGACUGGAAUUCCUGGUGUAGCGGUGGAAUGCGCAGAUAUCAGGAGGAACACCAAUGGCGAAGGCAGGUCUCUGGGCCAAUACUGACACUGAGGAGCGAAAGUCUGGGGAGCGAACAGGAUUAGAUACCCUGGUA
rnacentral:rRNA from 1 species